UUGAGAUCUUUGAGUGGAAAGGUUUCAAAGGAAAGAGGAGGGAGAAGAAGUCGUGAGAUACAUCUUUCCCAAGUGUUCAAAGGGAGUUGGAUCCUAUAGAAUCGGUUACGGAUAUAUAGCAAGGUGAAAUAUUGGCUUUGAGUACCCAAAAUUUUAAAUGUUAAUUUAUACAAAUAUAGAUUCUCAAAUUCAUAAAACAAUAUUAUAAUUCUUACUAAAUCGUUUUUAGUCUCCAAAGAUUCAAAACCAACUUCAUGAAAUCAAAACGCAAACGUGAAAAUAGAAAGAAGACAAUAAAAUGUUGAAAUCAUCAAGGUUUCCACUCAUCCCAACUACUCUAUUCCAAUCAAUUGGAAUAUCUUAUAGUUGAGUGAGUAGUCAAGGAUUAGAUGUGCUAUUAGUGAAACUAUUUAUUUAAAAUUAAGUUUAGUUAUUUAAACUCCAAGAUUAUA
rnacentral:lncRNA from 1 species